rnacentral:rRNA from 1 species
CCUACGGGAGGCUGCAGUGAGGAAUAUUGGUCAAUGGGCGGAAGCCUGAACCAGCCAAGUAGCGUGCAGGAUGACGGCCCUACGGGUUGUAAACUGCUUUUAUACGGGAAUAACGCGCCUUACGUGUAGGGCUUUGCAUGUACCGUAUGAAUAAGGACCGGCUAAUUCCGUGCCAGCAGCCGCGGUAAUACGGAAGGUCCGGGCGUUAUCCGGAUUUAUUGGGUUUAAAGGGAGCGUAGGCCGCAUGUUAAGCGAGCUGUGAAAUGUCCGGGCUCAACCCGGGCCUUGCAGCGCGAACUGGGCGGCUUGAGUCCGCGGAAAGCAGGCGGAAUUCGUCGUGUAGCGGUGAAAUGCUUAGAUAUGACGAAGAACCCCGAUUGCGAAGGCAGCUUGCUGCAGCGGAACUGACGCUGAUGCUCGAAAGCGCGGGUAUCGAACAGGAUUAGAUACCCGGGUAGUC